GACGAACGCUGGCGGCGUGCUUAACACAUGCAAGUCGAGCGGUAAGGCCCUUUCGGGGGUACACGAGCGGCGAACGGGUGAGUAACACGUGGGUGACCUGCCCUUAGCUCUGGGAUAAGCCUGGGAAACUGGGUCUAAUACCGGAUAUGACUCCAUGACGCAUGUUGUGGGGUGGAAAGCCUUGUGCGGCUAGGGAUGGGCCCGCGGCCUAUCAGCUUGUUGGUGGGGUGAUGGCCACCAAGGCGACGACGGUAGCCGGCCUGAGAGGGCGACCGGCCACACUGGGACUGAGACACGGCCCAGACUCCUACGGGAGGCAGCAGUGGGGAAUCUUGCGCAAUGGGCGAAAGCCUGACGCAGCGACGCCGCGUGAGGGAUGACGGCCU
rnacentral:rRNA from 1 species